rnacentral:rRNA from 1 species
UGCCUACGGGACGCAGCAGUAGGGAAUCUUCCACGAUGGGCGAAAGACUGAUGGAGCAACGCCGCGUGGGUGAAGAAGGUCUUCGGAUCGUAAAACCCUGUUGCUAGAGAAGAAAGUGCGUGAGAGUAACUGUUCACGUUUCGACGGUAUCUAACCAGAAAGCCACGGCUAACUACGUGCCAGCAGCCGCGGUAAUACGUAGGUGGCAAGCGUUAUCCGGAUUUAUUGGGCGUAAAGGGAACGCAGGCGGUCUUUUAAGUCUGCUGUGAAAGCCUUCGGCUUAACCGGAGUACUGCAUUGGAAAU